GACGAACGCUGGCGGCGUGCUUAACACAUGCAAGUCGAACGAUGAUGGGGAGCUUGCUCCUUGGAUUAGUGGCGAACGGGUGAGUAACACGUGAGCAACCUGCCCUUGGCUUUGGGAUAACCCUCGGAAACGGGGGCUAAUACCGGAUAUCCACUUUCUGUCGCAUGGCGGUUGGUGGAAAAUUUUUCGGCCAGGGAUGGGCUCGCGGCCUAUCAGCUUGUUGGUGGGGUGAUGGCCUACCAAGGCGACGACGGGUAGCCGGCCUGAGAGGGCGACCGGCCACACUGGGACUGAGACACGGCCCAGACUCCUACGGGAGGCAGCAGUGGGGAAUAUUGCACAAUGGGCGAAAGCCUGAUGCAGCGACGCCGCGUGAGGGAUGACGGCCUUCGGGUUGUAAACCUCUUUCAGCAGGGACGAAGCGAGAGUGACGGUACCUGCAGAAGAAGCGCCGGCCAACUACGUGCCAGCAGCCGCGGUAAGACGUAGGGCGCGAGCGUUGUCCGGAAUUAUUGGGCGUAAAGAGCUCGUAGGCGGCUUGCCGCGUCGACUGUGAAAACCCGUGGCUCAACCAUGCGGUCUGCAGUCGAUACGGGCAGGCUAGAAUUCGGUAGGGGAGACUGGAAUUCCUGGUGUAGCGGUGAAAUGCGCAGAUAUCAGGAGGAACACCGGUGGCGAAGGCGGGUCUCUGGGCCGAUAUUGACGCUGAGGAGCGAAAGCGUGGGGAGCGAACAGGAUUAGAUACCCUGGUAGUCCACGCUGUAAACGUA
rnacentral:rRNA from 1 species